GCGGAGGGAUCAUUACCGAGUUUACAACUCCCAAACCCCUGUGAACAUACCAUUUGUUGCCUCGGCGGUGCCUGCUUCGGCAGCCCGCCAGAGGACCCAAACCCUUGAUUUUAUACAGUAUCUUCUGAGUAAAUGAUUAAAUAAAUCAAAACUUUCAACAACGGAUCUCUUGGUUCUGGCAUCGAUGAAGAACGCAGCGAAAUGCGAUAAGUAAUGUGAAUUGCAGAAUUCAGUGAAUCAUCGAAUCUUUGAACGCACAUUGCGCCCGCCAGUAUUCUGGCGGGCAUGCCUGUUCGAGCGUCAUUUCAACCCUCAAGCCCCCGGGCUUGGUGUUGGAGAUCGGCGUGCCCUCCGGGGCGCGCCGGCUCCCAAAUAUAGUGGCGGUCUCGCUGUAGCUUCCUCUGCGUAGUAGCACACCUCGCACUGGGAAACAGCGUGGCCACGCCGUUAAACCCCCCACUUCUGAAAGGUUGACCUCGGAUCAGGUAGGAAUACCCGCUGAACUUAA
rnacentral:rRNA from 1 species